UCCACCACCGGCAGCCGGCGUCCCAUGGUCUCCAAAAUAACACCAAAGUGGCAUCUCCCUGCCCUCAUGAUAAGUUCAUCAUCCAUUUCACUCAAACCCCACUAGAACCCCUCAAAUCUCAAAAACCCUAGCCGCCGCCCUCGUUUCUUCCGGUGGCGGCAUGGCUCAAAUCAUCACCAAAUAGACACUCCCUAACCAUCAGACCUCCCUUGUCCUAUAUCUGCCUUCUUUCUUCCUUGAAACAUCGACCAAGCCUUUUAAAGUGGAAUUUGAGAAUGCAAUUGAGUUUCCGAUGGAAGCCCAACAUGUAGAGUCCUCUCCAUUUCUCUUAGUUGUUACCCGUUCAUGAAUAAAAAUGGUUGGUUAACGUAAUAACAAGGUUUAGAUUGGAGAAUUAGCCCUGAGCCUAAGACGAUUCAAUAAGUUGUCAGUUUAUUUCAUUCUAUUUGUUCUGAUUAUUCCUUCUUUAUCUCCUAUCAUUGUACUCGUCUGAGUUUGCCUCGUCUAUUUUCUUUCUUCUAUUUUUCUUAUCCAUGUUACAUUAAAAAAUUAGCUAAAUAGUUUACCACUGUGUUGAGUUCUUAUUGCUCGUAGUUUGAGCUGGAAUCUCUUUUUUCGCCAUCAUUUGAUUAAUUGUUUUUCAUGAAUAAUUAAGCUAAACUUCUUAGGGUUCUGUUUGAUUUUGUUUGAUGUUAUUUUGGUUCUUCUGUCAAAAUGAUGUUUGAAUCUGGUUAAGUAACUCGUAAUUAAUGUUCAAAGUUUUAGACUUUGAUUAGUUUAGUCGGAUUAAACGUUUAUGCCUGUUCGAAUUUAGAGUAGGACUUGAGCUAUAUUUUCAGGAACACAGGGGUGUAACUUUGGUAAAAAGUUAGGAAGUAUUGGACUAAAUAAAAAAUAAAUAGAGACUAGGAUAGAAAAAUAGCCUCAUUUGUGCCUAUAAAAUGGCAUGCACUUUGCCUUGAAUAAUAAUUUUUUGGAAGCCUCAAAUUCCCUACCAAAUAGGCUUACUUUCCCAAAAGUUAAUUUUAAUUUUAAAAUCAAACAUUAGAUCUGAAAUCAUCUUCCUCAUCUUAGAAAAAUCCAAAAACAUACAGAAUAACCAUAGAAAAUACAAAGAAGAAAAAAACACUGUUACAUUGAUCAUUCUUCAAGUUUCAGUUCUUAAUUCAACUAGUUAGCUUAUUUAGGAUUAGAAUUAGUUUGGAUCUCUCUGUUUCUAUUCAAUAAUCAAAAUUUUAAAGCAUCUAAAUGUGUCUGAGGCUUAUUCGAGUUGUUGCUGGAGUUUUUGAUUGCUGAAAUUGUUCUAUGAUCUUUUGGGUCAACUUCAAGUAGGUUUGAGAUGUAUUUGAUUGAUUUACUUCUUCAUGGGUCUUGUGAAAUUGGUGAAUUCUGAUCUGUUGAGUUGCUGCUAAGUUCCCUUUUCUCUCUUGUUGUUUUACAUUUACAGGUACACAUUUGAAUCCAAAUUAAUGUGGCUCUUUGAGAUCGACAUGAAAUGAAAAAUACUCAUGCACAUUUUACUGGAUAGUGCACAUUUAGACAAUUAAGC
rnacentral:lncRNA from 1 species